GUAGGUUUUCUGUCGUCCUUGCUCUGAUCUGUGUGCUAAGACCUGCACCGGGGCCUCCUUCACACACAGUGGACCAAUGGCAAGCCCUGAGAUGGUCAUUGGGUCCGUGCCGUCUGCCCAGGCCUUCGCCGGGGUGGUUGGGUUCAGGCUCUUUGUCACCAAUGGCCUCUCUUCCUGGGACCCACACAGUGAGAGCCCCCGAGGUGUGCCCUGCAGGCACCAGGCCGCUGCCAUUUUUGUGAAGGAAACCCGUGGCCUAGUUGGUGUUUGCCCGUUAUCCAGAGCCACCCCAAGCUGCCUCACUCUGCUGGGUCACUCCCUGAAUCCUCGGCGACCCCCACCCUCCUCCCCCCUGGGAAGGAAAAGCCCCUGCCCGGCCCAGCCGCCGGAUUGGUGUUGAGGUCCUGGGCCUGGACCUCUUGAGUCCUCUCAAAGACAGCCCAGAACCCGCAUCCCCUCUGCGGAGCCCCUGGGAGCACAGCCUGUGGGGACGUGACCCCCAGGGGCAGCGAGGCUGGAGCAGCUCUGGCCUUGCAUAGGCUUCCUCUGGCAGCCGGGGACACAGCUGCUGGGCCUCCUGACUCAGUCCCUGGGCCGCCUCCCUCUUGAACUUCUGUCCCUAAGGGCUCGGUUCACAGCUGUUCAGAGGGUGACCUUGAACAUCCCUUGGCGAUCUGGGCAUCUCCACUUAUUGCUCAUAAACUCAGCUGACCUCCUUAUGGCGGACUGUGGGAAGUCUCAGUUUCUGCUCUCGAGAAACGGAAACGACACCCCCUAGGAGGAGCUGGGCUGGAGCCUGGAAAAGCACAGGGAGCCACUCCCAGGUAUGCACCCUGGAGAAAUGAAAACACGUGUCUGCACAAAGACCUGUACUGAGCAUUCAUAGCAGCUUUAUUUGUAAUAACUAAAAAAGUGGAAACAACUCAAAUGUCCACCAACUGAUGAACGGAUAAAUAGAUGUGAUAUAUCCACACAAUGGAAUAUUAUUCAGCCAUAAAAAGGAAUGAAGUACAGAUUCGUGCUACAACGUGAAUGAAGCUGGAAAACAUUAUGCCAAGCGAAAGAAGCCCAACACAAAAGGCCCCAGAUUGUAUGACUCCGUUUGUAUGAAGUGUCCAGAAUAGGCGAAUCUGUAGAGACAGAGAGUGGACCAGUGGUUGCCUAGGGCCGGGGGAGGGGGAGUGAGGAGUGACCACUAACGGAUAUGGGGUUUCUUUCUGGGUGUUGAGAACAUUCUGGAAUUGGAUAAUGGUGAUGCUUGUACAACUUUGUGGAUAUACUAAAAAGCACUUUAAAUGG
rnacentral:lncRNA from 1 species